AUCGCUAUGUAAAGGUGCACCGCCCCCAAAAGCAGCUUCAGCAUUUAAAUAACUGUCUCCUGCUAUCUUCUCCGUGAGCAACACUUGGCUCGACCAAUAGGAUGAGGGUAUUCUGGAUCGUUACAUAUAUGCUGUCAGCUCAUUGGUCACAAUACAGGACUAGUCCCGGGAUCAAGUUUACCAUCAAUAUUGAGGCCAAAACCUUCACUUGCUGCAUUCUACCGACACCUGUCCACAGUUCCAAAGCGGAGCCAGAAGUGAAUUACAGACCAUUAUCAAUUACACUAAAACAGUUCCAGCGAAACUUGAGAGCCCCUUUGGAAGGAAGAGAUGGAUGGAGGGAUAAGCCACAGUGAAGGAGAAAGUAAA